CUGAAGGAGAGAAGAGAGAGAGAGAGAGAAGCACAUGGGUAACUUCAGACGGGGGUCCAGAGAUUGGCGAGACCCCAGAAAUCUGACAGCAGGACCCAAGCGUUUUUUGACUGCAUCACUCUGGUUUCCUAGCUGGACUUCAGGAUUCCAGAUGACCUUCUCCAGCCCAUCCUCUAAGAUGACACAGAGGCAGAGGGGAAGGCUGAAGGCACUGCAGUCGUUCACCUGGAAAGGCAUUCAAGAUGCUGGGCCUCUGCUGCUGCAUCCCUCCUGACAACUCAUCUGAGAAUCCCAAAUUUGGUCUGACUUGAGAUGAUGAAGUGGAAGGUGGGGAAACCAGAGCCUUUCAUGUUGGACCACAGCUUGGCUGGUUGGGGGAAGAAGGUUGACAGGCAUUUCUGGGUUUGAUGGAAAUUUCAAAUGGGACACAAUGACAGGUUGCUUGCUCUUUCUUCUGAGGUCUCUACUGUCUGUCUCCUGUAGAUAGUAGGGGUUGUGUCAUUUUCAUCUCUGUGUUCCCAGGGCCUGGCCUGGUAGCUGGUGUACAGAAGGCACUUAAUGGGAGGUUUGGGUGAAGGAAAAAAAGCUAAUAUGGAAUUGGGGACCAGGCAGCCCUGGUUUCAAAUCCUGGCUCUGCCACUGAUUUGGGUAUCUUUUUGGUUCUUCAUCUUUUUGGUUCUUGAACGUGCAUCUCAGCAAUGCUGGUAAGAAUACCUUCCAGUGGAGCUGUUGUAAAGAUCAAAAGGGGUAUAAUGGGCCUGAAAGUUCUCUGUAGAAAAACAAAAAGGCUCCGCCCAGGCAGGGAGUAUUCCUGCUUAUGGCUUGGAUCGUGCAUAAGCCCUGCAGGAGCUAGGGAGGAAGAGAGUUGCUAUUUGGCUGUGGAUGUUGAAUCUCAGAUGUUGUUCCAUCCGGGACCAUGCCUGUGGAUCUCUUGUUCAUUUACUUAGUGAGCAUCUCUAGAACACCUCUUGUAUUCCAGGAACCACAUCAGGCCUUGGGGA
rnacentral:lncRNA from 1 species